rnacentral:lncRNA from 1 species
AGGUUCUUGCACGAGCGAGGCGGCGGAGGACCGAGGCAAGGGUUUAGCGCCGUAGGUAGCGGCCACCGGGGUUAUUUUGCAUUUUGUAGUCAUUCCUAUAUUUACAUGUAUCAACUUCUCUUGUUGAUUUAGAGAUGUAAAGUUGUAAAUAAUCAUGUAUUUGGUGGAUAACUAAGUGUAAAAAGGAUAUGAUGGAUGAAUGGAAAUGUAAUAGUUUUAUUUACUUGUAUUUGGUUUCAAUUUAAUCAAAUAUCAUGUAUGUGGUAUACUUUGCUUAGAGCUUUCACUUCCGUUGUUGCUUGCCCUCGUGCAAGCCUUGUAUUAUAUAUGCAAAUCUCUUGUUGAUUGCGUAUUUAUACAUGUUGUUAGAGCCUUGAGCGGACAGGGGAGGCUCUGUAUAACAUACCAGAUUUUGGUAUAAAAAUAAAAAUAAAUAAAAAUAGUGUGAGAAACUAUUUUUAUUGGAUUUAUAGAAGUAAAAUAUAAGUCAUAAGUGACUUGUGCUGAAAUCGGAAUGAAAACAGAAGAUUUAGAAUUUUCUGUUGAAAACGGGACAGAUAAAUUAGCAGAAAAUGCACAAUCUCAGAAAAUUAUGAAAAUUGGAGGAUAAGUCAGAAAUAUUUUUAUGAGGCUAGAUUUAAAGUUUCAUAUUUUUCUGACACCCGUAGAGUGAGAAAUAAAAUUCGACAGCUAUCUGAUAAAGAUUAUAGUUCGGUACAGUUUUCGGUGACCAAAUGGGGUCGAAACUGAAAACUUAAAAUAUAUUCUUGCUCAGUACGUAAAACCGAACAUGACUGUCAAGUUUUAGCUCAAACGGACAUUUAGGGAGCUCCGACGAAAGUUAUC